rnacentral:rRNA from 1 species
GACGAACGCUGGCGGCGUGCUUAACACAUGCAAGUCGAACGGAAAGGCCCUGCUUUUGUGGGGUGCUCGAGUGGCGAACGGGUGAGUAACACGUGAGUAACCUGCCCUUGACGUUGGGAUAACUUCAGGAAACUGGGGCUAAUACCGGAUAGGAGCUCCUGCUGCAUGGUGGGGGUUGGAAAGUUUCGGCGGUUGGGGAUGGACUCGCGGCUUAUCAGCUUGUUGGUGGGGUAGUGGCUUACCAAGGCUUUGACGGGUAGCCGGCCUGGGAGGGUGACCGGCCACCUUGGGACUGAGAUACGGCCCAGACUCCUACGGGAGGCAGCAGUGGGGAAUAUUGCACAAUGGGCGGAAGCCUGAUGCAGCAACGCCGCGUGCGGGAUGACGGCCUUCGGGUUGUAAACCGCUUUCGCCUGUGACGAAGCGUGAGUGACGGUAAUGGGUAAAGAAGCACCGGCUAACUACGUG